UACGAGAGCUACGAGCGUUAUCCGGAAUUAUUGGGCGUAAAGGGUGCGUAGGUUGUUCUGUUAGUCUUCUGUCAAAUUCUUCGGCUCAACCGGAGACCCGCAGAGGAAACGGCAGAACUAGAAAGUGCGAGGGGCGUACGGAACUCUAGGUGUAGGGGUGAAAUCCGUUGAUAUCUAGGGGAACACCGAAAGCGAAAGCAGUACGCUGGCGCAUGUUUGACACUGAAGCACGAAAGCGUGGGUAGCGAAUGGG
rnacentral:rRNA from 1 species